rnacentral:rRNA from 1 species
UACGUAGGGCGCAAGCGUUGUCCGGAAUUAUUGGGCGUAAAGAGCUCGUAGGCGGCUUGUCACGUCGGGUGUGAAAGCCCGGGGCUUAACCCCGGGUCUGCAUUCGAUACGGGCUAGCUAGAGUGUGGUAGGGGAGAUCGGAAUUCCUGGUGUGGCGGUGAAAUGCGCAGAUAUCAGGAGGAACACCGGUGGCGAAGGCGGAUCUCUGGGCCGAUACUGACGCUGAGGAGCGAAAGCGUGGGGAGCGAACAGG